GACGAACGCUGGCGGCGUGCUUAACACAUGCAAGUCGAACGAAGAGCGACGGAAGCUUGCUUCUAUCAAUCUUAGUGGCGAACGGGUGAGUAACGCGUAAUCAACCUUCCCUUCAGAGGGGGACAACAGUUGGAAACGACUGCUAAUACCGCAUACGAUCUAACCUCGGCAUCGAGGAUAGAUGAAAGGUGGCCUCUACAUGUAAGCUAUCACUGAAGGAGGGGAGUGCGUCUGAUUAGCUAGUUGGAGGGGUAACGGCCCACCAAGGCGAUGAUCAGUAGCAGGUCUGAGAGGAUGAACGGCCACAUUGGGACUGAGACACGGCCCAGACUCCUACGGGAGGCAGCAGUGGGGAAUCUUCCGCAAUGGACGAAAGUCUGACGGAGCAACGCCGCGUGAGUGAUGACGGCCUUCGGGUUGUAAAGCUCUGUUAAUCGGGACGAAAGGCCUUCUUGCGAAUAGUGAGAAGGAUUGACGGUACCGGAAUAGAAAGCCACGGCUAACUACGUG
rnacentral:rRNA from 1 species